rnacentral:rRNA from 1 species
AACGAACGCUGGCGGCAUGCCUAACACAUGCAAGUCGAACGAAGCCUUCGGGCUUAGUGGCGCACGGGUGCGUAACGCGUGGGAAUCUGCCCUUUGGUUCGGAAUAACAGUUGGAAACGACUGCUAAUACCGGAUGAUGACGAAAGUCCAAAGAUUUAUCGCCAGAGGAUGAGCCCGCGUAGGAUUAGCUAGUUGGUGUGGUAAAGGCGCACCAAGGCGACGAUCCUUAGCUGGUCUGAGAGGAUGAUCAGCCACACUGGGACUGAUACACGGCCCAGACUCCUACGGUAGACAGCAGUGGGGAAUAUUGGACACGGGGCGAAAGCCUGAUCCAGCAAUGCCGCGUGAGUGAUGAAGGCCCUAGGGUUGUAAAGCUCUUUUACCCGGGAUGAUAAUGACAGUACCGGGAGAAUAAGCCCCGGCUAACUCCGUGCCAGCCGCCGCCGUAA